rnacentral:rRNA from 1 species
GCGGAGAACCUUACGGGGAUGCGACAUCCGCGUCUAGUGGAUUUCCACCAUAUUAAAUCCCCCUUCUUGGGGCUGGGAGGAGCAGAGGUGCUGCUUGUCUGUCGUCAGGUCGUGUCGUGAGAGGUUGGGUUAAGUCCCGCAACCAGCGCAACCCUUGACCUCUGUUGCUAACAGGUUAGGCUGACCACUCAGACGAAACUGCCGGAGAUAAACGAGAGGAAGGAGGAGAUGACGUCCACUCGUCCUGGCCCUCAGGUGCUGGGCUACACAUAUGUUACACUGGCCUUGACGAUGGGCAGCCAUCCCGCGAGGGCUAUCUAAUCCCCCAGACACGCCUCAGAUCGGAUUGUACUCUGCAACUCGAGUACGUUAGGCUGGAAUCGCUAGGUAAUCGCGGAUCAGCACGCCUGCAAGUGCAAUACGCUGCCCGGUGUCUUGUACACACCG